AUGGAAGACUACUUCGCGGAGGUACCUACAUACCCUCCUCGUCUCUUCCGCAGAAGGUACCGAAUUCGGCGUAGUUUGUUUGUGAAGAUUGUCACCGAUUGUGAGGCCGCCUCCUAUUACUUUAAACGUCGUAGAUCCGCCGCCGGUAUCAUGGGGUUUAGUGCAUAUCAAAAGAUAUCGGCGGCAAUGCGGGUACUCGCUUAUGGCAUACCCGCGGAUUAUACCGACGAGUAUCUUCGCAUUGGGCAAGAUACAACUACGGAGUCAGUCCGUAGGUUUGCCAAGUUGGUCAUCCGGUUGUACGGUGAGCAGUAUCUUCGGGCACCAAACGAGGAAGAUACAAAGACAUUAAUGGAAAUGAAUGAAAAAAGGGGAUGGCCGGGGAUGCUUGGUAGUCUUGAUUGCAUGCAUUGGAAGUGGAAAAUUGCCCAAAGGCAUGGCACGGAAUGUAUUGCGGUAAAAGCCGUGAUGCUACCAUUGUGCUUGAGGCCGUAG
rnacentral:rRNA from 1 species